GGAUCAGUUGGUAGAGCUUGGUGUAGUCAGCUUGGUGUAGUCAGUAUGUUAGUAGUUGUCCUGUUUGGAUCAGUUGGUAGAGCUUGGUGUAGUCAGCUUGGUGUAGUCAGCUUGGUGUAGUCAGUGUAUUAAUAGUUAUCCUGUAUGGAUCAGUUUGUGUAGUCAGAAUGUUAGUAGUUGU
rnacentral:lncRNA from 13 species